UACAGAGGGUGCAAGCGUUGUCCGGAAUCACUGGGCGUAAAGGGCGCGUAGGCGGCUUGAUAAGCGUGCGGUGAAAGCCCGGGGCUCAACCCCGGGUCGGCCGUGCGAACUGUCGAGCUGGAGCACUGUAGAGGCAGGUGGAAUUCCGGGUGUAGCGGUGGAAUGCGUAGAGAUCCGGAAGAACACCGGUGGCGAAGGCGGCCUGCUGGGCAGUGGCUGACGCUGAGGCGCGACAGCGUGGGGAGCGAACAGG
rnacentral:rRNA from 1 species